UAAACGUCUCGAAAAUUUGAA
rnacentral:piRNA from 1 species